AGGGGAUCUUCGGCAAUGGGGGGAACCCUGACCGAGCAACGCCGCGUGAGUGAAGAAGGUUUUCGGAUCGUAAAGCUCUGUUGUAAGAGAAGAACGAGUGUGAGAGUGGAAAGUUCACACUGUGACGGUAUCUUACCAGAAAGGGACGGCUAACUACGUGCCAGCAGCCGCGGUAAUACGUAGGUCCCGAGCGUUGUCCGGAUUUAUUGGGCGUAAAGCGAGCGCAGGCGGUUAGAUAAGUCUGAAGUUAAAGGCUGUGGCUUAACCAUAGUACGCUUUGGAAACUGUUUAACUUGAGUGCAAGAGGGGAGAGUGGAAUUCCAUGUGUAGCGGUGAAAUGCGUAGAUAUAUGGGGGAACACCGGUGGCGAAAGCGGCUCUCUGGCUUGUAACUGACGCUGAGGCUCGAAAGCGUGGGGAGCAAACAGGAUUAGAUACCCUGGUAGUCCACGCCGUAAACGAUGAGUGCUAGGUGUUAGACCCUUUCCGGGGUUUAGUGCCGUAGCUAACGCAUUAAGCACUCCGCCUGGGGAGUACGACCGCAAGGUUG
rnacentral:rRNA from 1 species